rnacentral:lncRNA from 1 species
UUUGAUAUUUCUUUCUUGUGGAUGUUUGUUGAGAUUAAUAUGGUUAGAUUUUGAUUUUACCAUGAUUUCCCCAUUAGGUUAAUUCUCAUUCAAUUGGACUAUUGUGUGAUUGAUUUGUAUAAUCAUGUAGUUUAGAUUCAAUUCUUGAAUUUGGAUUGUGAAUUUCACAUUUGAUUAAUUUCUAUUCUAAUUCAUGUUUAGGUAUCCUUUUAA